AUGAAGGAACUUGAGCAACUGGACAGCCAAAUUGAGAUCUCUCUCAAACAUAUCAGGGCGACAAAGAGCCAGCAGUCACUUGAUCAGCUCUUCGAGCUCAAGCACAAGGAACAACAACUGCAAGAUGUUAAUAAAGACUUACGAAAGAAGAUACAAGAAACUAGUGCGGAAAGUGUUCUACAGAUGUUUUGCCAGGAUGUUGGACCUAGUGGGUCUAGUGGCCAUGCUAAUCAAGCUAAUCAACAGGAGCAUUUUCAUCCUGAUUGUGACCCUUCCUUGUGUAUGGGGUAUGAUCAUGCUUACCUGGAUGACUUGAACAAGGAAUGA
rnacentral:rRNA from 1 species